rnacentral:lncRNA from 1 species
CUUUACCCUCUUCACUUCCCAUUACCUUCUUGCAAUUGUAAAUCCUCUCAUGACAAUGAGAGGCUAAAUUCUUCCAUUGUUGGGAGCCUAGCAACCAAACCUCUUGAUGUAAUUUUUCCUACUAUCUACUUAAUAUUAUUUAUAUUUUAUUGUCUCUUUUCUAUGCUUAAUCUUAUUAAUUGUGGCUUAAUUACCCAUAUUCAUGUAUAUGUUUUAAGAUUUAUGUAUUGAGAAAUGUUUAUUUCCUAAGAACUGAAAAAGGACAUCUAAAUAAUUCAUAUCUAGAAAUAAAAUGACAUUGUUUGGUCUAUUUUAUGCAUCUAUGUUUAUAAUGCAAUUUAACUAGCUUAUUCUUUUAAGGGAUUAGGAGAAAGAUUGGGUAAAUUAGGUUUUUUUACUCGAGGAAUUAUGAUUAGAGUAUAUGAUAUGAAUAUAUGUAGGUGAUAAUUAGAAUAAUAUUAAAUAGAGAAAGAUCAUUAGUUUUGAUAGACUAGGCUCCAACAUAUCCACAAUCAACAAAGAAUUUGUUUUUCUUCUCUUGCAUAUUUUAAAUAAUUAGUUUAAUUUUAUGUCCUUUUCACAAAUCUUUAAGUCAAUUCAUUAAUUGCUUAAAAAUUGAGUGUACACUAAUCUAAAUAUAAAUAAAGUUCUUAUAGAUUUGACAGUACAUUUCCAUUUUACUUUACUCCUUAAAAUAAUUUGAUGUCCUUGGGAAUGAGUUAACAUGGAAACUCCAAACCUUUGAGACUUUCUUUAACCAUAAUAAAGGCACACUAAGCUUGUGUUUGGAAGCGUGUUGGCAACGUAAGUAUAUAUAAUAUAUGCAAAACCACCUCAAUUUGAGAGAAAAACGCGUAAGCUACUCUUGGUAGCAUAAUCUACCUGGACACAUAUCAGGUCUCAAACGAGAAUCUAAACGCACUGUAAGGCUGUUUGUUUAUUUGUUUAACCAAGGAGACAAGACAUGUUAAAUAAAACAAAGAAAAUCUAUCAUCAGUGAAGUAGUUUUGAGACUCAUACAAAUUGACACUGAUAUCCGAGUCUGUUCAGCUUAAAAAUGGGUUUGUGAAAUCUUGUGCUUAUAUUUCCUGUUCCCAUAGCGCAUCCUUUCAGCAAAAGAGCUGAAAUGGUUAUCUAUUAAUAUCACAUGCGUGAGUCGAAAAAAAGUUUCAUGGGAUUUUCAUUUUAUGGUUCCAGUUUCACAACUCAUCAAAUGUGUAGAUGAAGAAGCAAAACGGCAUAAUGACAGAGGCUUGUCUCUACUACGGAUUUACCUUGUUCCUUGUUUUGUUUCUAUGCCAACUAUGGUCCCUGAUUUUGGCUUUGCUGGUGGGGAACCACUUCAAAGGAUUUCAUCUUUGGAGUUCUAAUAGAGAUUUUGCACCCCAUAUGUAUUGUUAAAGCUCAUUGGUGUCCUAUGACUUUUCUUGAUGCUCCUGCAACAGUGCUUCAACCAAUGAAAAUUUUGUUAGACUUUUGCUUCUGCGAUCCAAUUAUCCAUUGCAUUAUAUUACUCUCUUUAUUUGAUCUAAUUUUAUGAGCCCUAUGGCAUGUUUAGGUCUCUAGGACCAUACCUUUUUUGGUCUGAAGUUCAUCCUCUUGCCUCAGUUUGUGACAUAAUUAACCAAGUUGGAGUGCUGACACCAGCAUUUGCAGUUCUUCAUAAAGGCUGGGAAUCAUUAUUCCUCUGUGAAUUCUGAUCCAACUAUUUCUAGAAAUGAUUGUUUAUAACUCAACUUAGAGAAUGUUUGCAUUAUCCCACACAAAAUCACAAUGUAGGGUUGACAGGUAAUCUGUAAAAUGUUUCUUUGUGCUAUUUAACAAUCAUAUAUAGGAACUCUAUCAGUGGGUUGAUAAUGUUAACUUUCAUCUAAAUAAAUUGGAAGUUGAAUUCAUGUUUUUUAUUGACAAAUUAAUGGCAGGGAGAAAGGAAUUGAACCCAUUAUAUUUUCCAUUAGUGAGGUCACGGAAAGAUUAAAUUAGUUACUUUGAAUGAAUUAGUUGAAUUACUCAAAAACCAGAAAGUUAAUUUCACGCAUAUGAAAAUUGACACUUCUAGUCUGGGGUGAGUGAUUCAAGACUAAAUUGAAGUUUUAAAUAGAAGAAAAAACUAAUUUGAAAUUAGAAUUGAGAUGAUAUAACUUUUUGGGAUAUACAAAUUUAAACACAAUAAUCUUUUGGUGUUGGCAGGUUACUCCUAGAUCAAAUGUUUUUUGCUAUAUGGAAGUACAAAAUCACCAUAAAAGGCCAAAUGAAUGUCUCAUCUUCCUGAACUACGUACUCUCUUUCUCUCUCUCUUUCAAUAAGUCUUGAGAUAUUUGAACAUGUGAGGGCCUGCUUCACUCCAGUACAAAUUUUGAUUGAUUGAAAUUUUAAAGGAUUUGACGUUUGAUGCUAUCAAAUUUUAUAUUUUAAACUAGUUUAAAAUAUUUUUCCAACUCAAAGUAGAAAGGAAAAUGAUGGCUGCACACCCACAUAUUACUUGAGAUCUAGAGAAAUAAAAUAAAAAAUGUAUAACCAAAAGUGAUAUCAUCUCAUAUCAUAACUGUUCCAAGAGUGAUACUACCACCUUCUCAUAAGUCAUAACUGUUGAUCUUUAAUGCUAAUGCACAUUGAUUACUACUUUAUACUUAGCAAACGAAGUUGCAGUCAACCAUUGUUACUGGGUUCCACCUUUGGUUACAUGUGAUAAUAUUCAUGAUACCAGUCUAAAAUUCAUUAUGAUUUUCUCGGCAGCACCAAGAAAGUUCCAUAAUUAAAACUCGUGUGUCAGUUGGCACUUGGCAAUUGGCAUGCAUAUAUGGCUUUUUUUAUUGGGUCGACGUCAUCUAUAUGGCUAAUUUAAGAUAAUGUAAGCGCACAAAUGUACUUUGGGUCCCUCGAUGCCCAACAAUAGGCCUGUAGGCCAAUGGGUUCAGUUUCAUUGGGCUUCGUCUUCAUCUCUCAAUCCCAACUCUGUCAUGAUGUCUAUUUCCCCAUGAAUCAUUACAUAAACAUUUUUAUAUACUACUUAUCAAGAAAUAUUUAUUAUUUUUUUCGAAACUAACGAUCAUUCUUCUUAAAAGUGGGCAAGUUUCUCUUUGAAAAGACUAAUGGGCAUUCUUGUUUCUUCCGAAUAUUAUUUUGUGACUUGUCUGGUAAUAAUACAUAACAUAUAUAAAUCCAUCUGGCAUUGUUGUAAAAUUAUAAACAAAAAAACAGUGGUUUGACAGGAUUUGUAAUUGUAAUAUAAACCCUCAUCAAUAUUUUGGGCAGAAGCAACAAGGAAUUUGUUGGGCUUGAAAAUUUAAGCCCACGUCAAAAUUUUGGGCAGAACCAACAAGCCGAAUCUCAAUUUUUAUUUAUUUUAACGGGGAAUGCUAAUUUUAGUUCACAAAAUCCAGAUCGCGGCACAAGGGUGAUCGGGGACAUGCUAAUUCCAUAGUAAGUAUAUAAGUUAGUUUGAUUCUCUAAAGGUUACAAAGUUUAUAUAGUGAAACAUUGAUGCUAUUUCUUAAUAGAAAUAAUAUAGAAAAUUUUAAAAACAACACAUGAGAAGUAAUUUAAUCUAUAAUUAUUUCUAUUAAGAAAUAAAAUUAAUUUUAAAACAACACAUGAAGUAAUUUAAUUUAUGAUUAUUUAUGUAAUUAAUUUCUAUAAAUUAUACAUUUUUUAAUUUAUGUGAAAAGAAACCCUUAAAGAAAUAAAAUAUUAGUAAGUAAACUUCCAUCAAUUGCAAUCGCUGAAAUAUUGAAGAAAUGCGAGGAAGUGGACGAAAGCGCAAAAAAAAAAAAAAAAAGUAAACUUACGAUUCUUUGAUAUCAGCAAAACAGAGAAGAAAGAUUUUUAAGAAAAUUUGGUUUUCAUGUGUACAAAUUUCUACUCUCAUGAGUGAAGAAAGACGUGGAAAUGGAAAGCUUUAUCAAAGCAAUUCGCUUUUUUUUUUUUUUAACACAUAAUUAACUAAUAACUAUGCCAUGUAUAUACAUAAUCAAUUUUUUAUUUUGACUUCGUGCAUACAUAAUCAAUAUAUUAUGCUCAGCACAAUCGAUCAUGCGUGUAUAUACAUAAUCUUAUUCUCUUUAUUUCUCUUAAAUCAACCAAGCAACAUUUUCACUUAUUUCUAUUUUAUUCUUUUCUCACCUACUUAUUUCCAUUCUCUUUAUUCUCUCCGCACACCCUUAAAUAACUUACAGUACUUCUAUGUAACAGUAGUUAACAAAACCGAAUUUUUAUGUAUCCGCAGACCGCAGUCAUUGCAUGCCAUGAAUGCACCUUGUAAUCUUUCAUUUCCCAUGUGAUAUCGGGUCAACAGCAUGCACAGUUCACAUUACCAAAUGAGUGAAAUGACAUAAUGAUGACACAAUUGUUUUUAUUUUGGAGCCAUCAUUCUAUGUCAAAAGAGUCAUAUAUACCAGAAUUCAAGGCCACGGGCGUAAAUGCUUCAAUUCAAAUAUAAAGAACCCAAUAGCCAUUAUAAGUGCUGCAUGGUAAUCAGAUGCAAGUCCCGAAUAAGAUGACCUACAUGUUGUGGUACAAAUCAAUAAGAAAAGAAAUAUGCAACCGGUAAGAUUGAUUUGAUACUUGAACUUAAUUUGUGAUCGUCCUGCAACCGUCGCUCUGAAGCUUGCGCUGAUCACUUGCCGCAUCUGGUAGGUGAAAUUACAGAAAAUUCCUAAGAAAACUGAAAGAGCAUAAAACCAUACAUAAUACAAUGAUAUGAUAUGAAUAGAUAGAGUAGCAAUCACUGGGUCUUCCUAAGUUAUAAGACUAAGCUUCUCUCAGGUUUAAGAAGUGUAGGGUUCCCUGUGGUAUCCUCGGCAUUGUAAUUCCUAUUGGAUAAUUAGAGAGUCAAGUCCUGAUGUUUUCUUCUUUGACCCUACUCUUUAAAUAUUCUUAUUUUUUUUUAUAUGGGUCAAAGAUCAUCCAUGUUAUCCAACUCAUGAGAUCAUAAACUAAUUGUUUUUGAGUUGUAUUAUUGCUUCAAGGAAAUUUUAAAAAAAAAAAAAUCAAACACAAAUUUUUUCACUAAAUAUAAUAUAUCAUUUUUCUUACAGGUAAAAAUAGUAAAAUAUACACUUUCUCUUAUCAUUAUUACACAUGUAACCUUUAACAAUAUUUUUUUUUUGUCUAACACUUAAUAAAAAUAUUAGUAAAAACUUGUAACAAUAUUUAAAAAAUAUCAACAAAUACAAAUAAAUGUUAUUAACAUGUUUUCAUGAUAUUUUAUCAAAUGUUGUGUACUAGCGACAUGAAUUAUACACAACAUUUGAUAAAAUAUCCCAGAAAAUGUUAGUAACAUUUAUUUGUAUUUUGUGACUUUUUUUAAAUGUUAUUAAAAGCUUUUAUUCAUAUUUGUUGAUACUUUUUUAAUGUUAUUAAAAUAUUUGUAAUAUUUUUACUAAAUAUUAAAUAAAAAAUGUUACUAAAGAUCACAUGUGUAAUAGUAUAUAUUUGCUUUGUUGAAUUCUAUUUUUUGCUGUUAGUUAAUUUCUUUUCUGCUAAAGUUAGUUAGUUAGUUUUUUAGUUUUCUAUUAUAGACACACUCAGCUCUAUACAAGCUGAGUUCUCUUUGUAUUUGAUGCAUUUUAAUUGAUAAUGAGAAAUGAUGAGCACAAUGCUCUUUCUCUUCCAAAUUUAUAUUUUCUACAUGAUAUCUUUAACUGGAUUCAGUGACUCUGAUUAAGGAGCUUGUUUUGACACUCAAAGAUCCAUCACAGACAUAUGUUUCUUCUUAGGAACCUCACUAAUUUCUUGAAAGAGUAAGAAACAAUCCAUUGUGUCCAAGUCAUCCUCGGAAGCUGAAUAUUGGACUCUUGCUCAAGCAUCUUGUGAAGCACAAUGGUUAUUGUUCUUACUAAAGGAUCUUCAUAUUGAGCAUAGUUGUUUUCUACUGUGACAAUCAAGCUGUCCUGCACAUAGCCGCAAAUCCUAUUUUCCAUGAACAAACUAAGCAUAUUGAAAUCGAUUGUCAUGUGAUAAGAGACAAGGUUCAAUUUGGUUUGAUUCACCUUUUUCCCAUCUCCACUCAUAAGCAAUUGGCAAGACACUCUCACCAAACCUUUAGAUGCUCGUCCCUUCAAUCAUAUUCAUUCCAAGCUAGAAAUGCUUGACAUUCACAUUCCAGUUUGAGGGAGUGUUGAAUUAUGUUUUUUGUUCUGUUAGUUAAUUUCUUUUCUGUUAAAGUUAAUUAGUUAAUUUUUCUGUUUUUUGUUAGUUAGUUUUUUAUUAUAGACAAAGUCGGCUCUAUAUAAGCUGAAUUCUUUUUGUAUGUGGUACAUUUUGAUUGAUAAUGAGUUCUCUUUUAAAUCUAUUUUUCCCUUCCAAAUUUAUAUUUUCUACAUGCUUUAUUAAAAUAAAUUUAAUUAGGAUGUCGGAAUUUUUUUUGGCAAAAAGUUUUCUAAAUUUUUGUACAAAUUAGUUGUAGAAACAAUAUUACUGUUUCAUUUUCUUAUACAAUUCGAGCUUUGCUGUGAUAUUUUUGUUAAUAGUUAAUGGUGCAGUCAUUAAAAUCCUUCCGGGAGAGCCAGCUAGCUGCCCAUGAAAAGCGUCGUAAGAUCGAGUAAAACUUGGGCUUUGCUAUUGUUAAAGGAUACAUGGUGUCCUAUAGCUGGGGCUCAUUAUAUUAUUCAUUUAAUAGUACACAAUUGUAAUCGCAAUAUCAUUAAAAUAUGGGGGAAAACCGAUUUAAUAGUACACAGUUGUUGGUCGAGAUAGUAAAGUUGGAUGCGAAGUGAAAAUCAGGCUAUAUCAUAGACGAGAUCAUUAAAAUGCAACUGAGCCAAAUACAACCUAUGUUACCUAACCCCUGCUACGAAAUUCAUAAAAUAAUUAUCAUGCCUGUAUAUUAAUCUCUUGCGAGCUAGAACUAGUUUUUGAAAAACGUGUAAUUCUUGUUUUUUCUAAUACAGGGGCGGAUAAAAAAAAUACGAGCAAACGGUGGAAAAUAAUUAAAUUCUACUAGUAAUAUAUAUUAUAAAAUAGCGAUAUUAACAGAAAAAGGUUAAAAUAUUAAUUAGACUUAUUACUUCUGUUUGUCAGUGUAAGUAACUAGUAUUAGUUUAAUAAUUUCAACAAUUAAUUAUAGGUUUAUAGUAAUUGUACAAUACUAGUACAUUAGAAUAAAACUGUAAUAUUUAUAUAUACUAAUAAUUUAACUUAUGUUAAAUAAAGAGUAUGCUGGUUUUUUUUGACAGACAAAGAGUAUACUGAUAAAAAUAAGUAAUACCUAAUUGUUAGUACAUAUUGUUUUUAGUAAUACAUGAUUAAAUUGAUAAAUUAUGUAAUUUUAAAAUAUUUUUUAGGGGAACCCACCCUUUGAAUUGUUCUAUUUGUUUAUAUAAAUUCUAUAUACUUAUUAGUAACAACAUUAUAACAAUAACAACAAUUUUUUUUCAUUAAAAAGAGUCACUUGCAUCAUAAAACAACAUUAAUGUUCCACUCUAAAUUAAUUACUAUAUAUGUAGACAAAUUAUUGAUGUUUAGACCAUUUUUAAUGAUUUUAAUAUGUAGAUUGUUUAGUUUAUAUUCUUUUACAAACUGAAUUAAUUGACAAAUCUGUUUGGUAAUAGUAAUUGGUCAUAUCUAAAGGUUUAAGUAAGCUAAUUAUAUUUGAGUCAUUUUUGUUUGUAAUAGUAGUUUUAAAUUAUUUUUAUAUGAUUACAUCACUUUUGGCUACGUGGGUAAUUAAGAUAAGAUAAACAAGAUUUAUUGACUUAGUAUACAAGAAUACUGAGAAAAAACAAAAAAUAACGUGGCUAGCUAGCAUAGAUGCAAUGCAGCAAAAGGUAGUUUGUAAAGAAGGAGAUAGAUUUUGCCUUGAAAUAAUAUAAAAAAAUUUCUUUAAAGACUAUUUAAUCAAAUUAGAGGAAUUGGCUUUGCUGAAUAUGAUAUAUGAUUUAUGGUAGGUGAAUAUGUGUUGGUUAGUCUCCCUUUCUCUCUCUGAUAUAAGGUACAAAAUAUUAUCAAAUGUGAUUAUUUUAAUUUGAUUAAAAAUUUAAAAUUUAAGUCUGAAUAGAUAAUUAUUAAAUAUUUAAACGAAAAAUUUUACAUAAGAUUGUCUCACAUCACAUGAAAGAUAAUUAUGAUUAAUAAUUAAGGUACAAAAUUUACAUCCAAAUAUGACGCAAUCACACUUAAUGUUUUCCUGAGAGAACCUAAAGAAACCAUAGCUUGCGCACUUUUCUGUAGAUAACCAAACAUGCAGAAACCGUACAACCACUACCACCUCAUGUUGUGUCAUCUUUGUACAAAUUCUCUCUCCUCUUCUCCUCCCCCUGGCCCUAGAUCUCUGAUUCUCACUCUCUCGAGGUUUUCAUAAUCAUGACUUUGCUUUUCAAAGCAAUCAUUCUCUCUAAUCUAUAUCCAUUCCCUACUCUCUCAAGGUUAUAUUAACCGUAUGCGUCUGCAUUGUUCUUUCAAUCAGCGUCUUCAGAAAUUUUAAUGAAUACAUUAUACAUAUACCUGCUUUCUCAUUGGGAUAACUGUAUUUAUAUAAUUAUGAAAUUUUUGUGUAAUAAGAAAACACAGCCGGAUAGAAAAAGAAAAAUAUGUAGCAAGAUUAAUUACGUCAUUAAAAAGAUAAAAGGAAAAGAGAUAAUUAAAAAUAUUAAAAUGAUAAUAUAACUCUUCUGAGUUCUCAAUGGUUAUGACUUAUGAUCGUGUGCUAUAAUUAUAAUUUUAUGUGGGCAAAUUGGUCAAGUUUAUAAGCUUCUUCUCUAUUCAAGUUGUAACCGGAGGAGUACACACACUACAGUGCUUCACUUUUUUGUGCAUGACACAUAUUUCCUAAUCAUUUCUCUGAUCAUCAUGUUUCCCUCCUGGCCGGUAUGUUAUUUGUGUCCUUCGCCAUUUGUCAACACGAGCUUCUUUCUUUUUGUUUCAUAGUUAGUCACUGCAAAAGACUUGCACUAUUCCAUGUUUUUUUGCAUGCAUGAUAUAUACCUUUCCAUGGCAUUUCUGUAAUAGCAUUUUUUUCUCCUGUUAUAAGGUGCAUGGUUCUCUUCCUGUUCGAGUGUGAUCUUCAUUCUAUAUUGGGUGAUUAAAGAGGAAACAACCAUAAAGAAAAGAAAACCCCUUAGUGAAUCCCUUUUGCCACUAAGCAAUUAUAUUGUUAGAAAAAGAUUUUCUGAUAUUCAGUAGAAGCAAUUCUCUCUUGGACUAUGUCACUUUGUGUAAUCAAUAUCCACCAUAGCAAAAUUGCGUGUCUUGAUCUCUUUUUCUGGGUUUUCUAGAAUUUCUGAUGGAAAAUCGUAUCUCCUGAUUGUAACAUUAUAUAAUUUAUUUAUUCUUUUUGAAAUUUAGUCACUUAUCCUGAAUGCUGUAACCGUGGCCUCCGGUGCUGGCAACUUUACUACUCCAAAUGAAUUGGAACCGCAUCUUCAUGGUAAGUCCCAUCUUAAAUCUUUCUUCGUUUCACUGUGAUGUCUAUAUAUUCUUUGAUUUGUUCUAUAUUCAUAAAGAAUACUGCCUAUAUAGUACUAUAUAUCUCUGUGAUUCAUUCGAAAUUAGGAGACUGUUGACUUAAUUAGUCUCACCCUUUCAAUUUCCGUCUAUCACUUGAGUUAAUAUCUCCUAUUUUCUUUGUUUGAAUUAAUAUUAAAAACCCCAAACUUUUCUAGAAUCUUAAUUAGUCUCACCCUCUAUUUUUUAGUUGGGUACAACUCUAUUGUUAUUUUGAUUUUGCUUUAGUAGUUCUUUUAAAUGAGAAUUUCCAAAUCAUAAAUGUAAAGAGCAGCAAGCAUAAAAGUAGAAGCAUGAAUAGAAAAUACUAAUCAAACCGAUUUCAAAUCGAAAACACAGUUUGCAUGGCCCGUGCCCAUUGGCAAAUACCAUUCAGUUGUAGUACUAGUUCAUUUUGUUAAGUGGCCUCCUGCCAAGAAAACAGAAAAUGAAAACUAAUAUAUGUCACUCUCUGCUGUGACACCAAUAGUUUGAUAAAGAAAUGGAGGCACUAAUUAAGUUUCCUGUUGCCUUGAUAUAAACAUGAAAUUUUUUUAUGCAAACAGUUUGAAUAAAUUACUUAACCACUACUCAUAAUAAAAUAAAAAACUAGAAAAAAAAUCUUGUACAAAAUAAAAAUAACUUGCACAAGUUUUUAAUAACUCUUUCAUUCGUUUCCUGCAUAAAAUGUUAUAUUUUAGCCCUUAAAAUAAAUAUCAACAAAUCAAUUCCUAUUGUUAAAAAUUAUUAGAAAAUUACUAAUUUGUCUAAUAUUAUUUUUCUUACAUGCAUGUAUGAACCUUUCAAAAAAAAAAUCUUACAUGUAUGAAUUUUAAUGUAACAAGAAUAAAUUAAAAGAUGAGUCCUAUAUAUAUAUAAAAAAAAGAUAAAGACUGAUUUUGGAAUACUGUAUCAAUCUGUUUGACUUAAGAAAAAGUAUAUAUGAACGAGGAAAUUAGGAGAGGACAAAAGUGAGUCCAACAUAGAGAUACCACCUUAAGGUAUACCUAUUUAAAAUAGCAAUAUGGGCCUAUUUUUUUUUACUCUAAAAUCUAAAUAACAUAAGUUUGUAUAAUUAAAUUCUAAUUCUAAUAAUUAACAAAUAAUAAAUUUACCUAUUUGCAUAAUUAUUUAUCAUUACAAUAUUAAAGAGAAAUAAAAUUAUUUAUGGGUCACCAUGUUUUUUUAAUAUAAAUGCUACUAUCCUUUUAAACCAAAAGGCUAAUAAAGGAUAUUUAUUACAAGUGUCGUGAGUCAAAUCAUCAAAGCUCAUAAAGCUUAAAAAAGCAACACUGAGCUGAUAAACCAAACAAAUAAUUGAUAAGAUUUUAUUGAUUCUGAACAACUGAUAAGAUAAGACCCGGAGAAGGUAUGACUUUAGGCUGAGAUCCAAGUAGCUGGUGAUGAUUACUUUGGCAAUAGGUAAUUAGGUACCUGUCCAUUCUGGCAAGAUCAUUCCUACUCAAUGUCUGCAUGACCAUGACCCAGUCUCAAUGUACAUGGAUUUGAGGUUAAUAGAGAAUGUAACAAUACAUUUUUUUAAUGAAAUUUAUAAGUUAUAAUUUUAGUAUAUCUAAUGAGUCACUUUUUUAUUUUAUAAUUUUUAAUCAAAUUUAAUCAAUGAUAAAAUGUAAGUUAGAACUAACGUGUUAUUAACAAUCUUCUGUUCACCUGAAUAAAAUUUCCCACGUUUUAUAAUGACUUUAACCAUAAUUCUUUUUUAUAGGCAGACAAAUAAUUUUAUCGUAAAAAAAGAAAAAAAAAGUGUUAAGUACUAUAUGUACUCAACCAGUAGUAUGACUUUAAGGAGAAGUUGAAAGAGAAAAAACAAAUUAGUUUCUUAAGAAUCCUGAUGUGAGGAUUUUAAAUUAAAAAUUUUAAUUUUUUAUAUUUUAAAAUUUUUUUAUACCACCGUUUCUUAUAAAAUUGUUUCCACAUAAAGGUGAGUAUCUAAAUUUUUUAGGUUGAUUUUUUUUUAUUAAGAAUAUCAUACAAAUCUUUAUUAGAUUAUUUAAUGCGAUAAAAAAUUAAAAUAUUCCCCAUUCUUCUUUUAUUGUUUUUUAAGGUUUUCACUUAGAAUUCAAUACAAUCCCAGUAUCUUAUUCUAUUAUUCCACUUUUAUUCCACAAUAAAUACAUGUGUAAAAUAAUUAAAGAUUAGAUAAAAAAUAAAAGUUAUAAUUAAUAAAAGAUUAAUUGAUGUGAUGUUGAGUAUCACAAAUAACGGAUAAAUAAAAUAUUUUUUUUCAAAGAUUCAAUAAUUAAAAAAACAAAAAAUAAUUGAUAAAAUAUUAUGUUUUUUUAAUUCUUAAUUUUUAUAUAUAUGACAUCAAUUAAAUAAAUUUUAUUCAUAUGACUGUUCUAGGAAUUUAUCAACAAAUUUUCCGGAAAAUACUCCUCUCCACUAAUUUUCCUUGUACCAAAUUUCUCCUAACCUUAAUAUUCUAAACUUAAAAGUGUGUACUAAGACACGAUUAGAUAACAGCACAGAUCAUUCAGUCAUUCUACUCUAUAAAAUCAUUAAAUUGCUUCAAUUUAGCUUGCUUUUUACUCCUCCAAAAUCGAAGCUGAUCUUAUUUGUCCGCAACCGCAAGUACUCCUAUUUAAGAGCUUACUGUGGCUAGUCCCAAGCCAACCUUGUGCGGACUCUACUUAAGUUAAGGUUCAUAAUGUUCACUGUUCCAAUAAUAUAUGAACCUAGAUUUAACGACAAGAAUCUUGUUUUCAGAUAGCAAUAUUUUAGCAACGCCCGGUUCAGUUAACAGCACAAUUUGACAACAAAUGUUUUUCUUACCCAACCCAAGAUAUGAAACCGAAUAUUCUAUAUAUAUAUAUAUAUAUAUAUAUAUAUAUAUAUAUAUAUAUAUAUGAUGAAAAUAAAUGCAAGCAGGAUAGCCUAAUCUUUGUUUUAGGGAGUCCGAAAAAUAUUUUUAUUUAUUAAUAAUAUUUUUUUCUUAAUAAAUACUUCAUAAAAAGUUAAUAAUUACUUAAUAAAUAAUAUUAACUUAUUACGAUUAGCUAUAUUAAUAAUAAUAUCAACUUAUUACGAGUAAUUAUAUUUUUUUCACUCUUAAAAGUAGGCCCCUCAUCCUACUUUAUCUUGAAAUCACCAUUUAGAGCCAAUGACUUAUUUCCAACUUUAGAAAAUUGAAUUCCAUUGUCAUUAAUUCUAUAUAAUCUUCACUAUGGUUAUUGAAGUCCGAUUACAUGUAAUUAAUACUAAGAGUUAGUAAUUGUUCUAUUAUCGGACGUUGGCUGGGGAGCAGGGUUAUAAAGAUUGCAAGGUGAGCUAGGGCGUGCCAAUUAAGUUGGCGGCAAUUCUCCUUUUGCCUUAUUUAAUUUGUUCUAGGUAUUAAAAGCUAGGCAAGUGCUAAGCUCUAGUCUCUUUCUUGGUGGUAGUUGCAACGUGCUAUUAAGACAUGUCAUUUUGGAUGAAAGGGCUAACUCUAUCGAUGUGAGACAGUGAGAGAUGAGCAAAAUAUUGCGUAAACAUCUUCCAAAUUUAUAUUGUCGGCAUGAUAUUUUUCUCUUAAUUGAAAAAGGAUGGAUCAAGUUUGUUCUUUCCAUGUUGCCUAAUAGUUCAAGUAAGAGGCCAGUAGUUCCUCGGCGUCUUAACAUUUUGAUUUUAUCUCCAUUAUAUAUCUUUUUUGGUUUAUUGGUUCCUUGACGUGGAAUAGGAGCCUUAUUAAAAAUGCUAUAGAUUUUCUUCGACUUCUUUCUGCAUGGUUAAUUAGAGAUAAUCACCAAUGUUAUAUGCAAUUUAUUGAAUAUGAAACCUAGGGAAAAGAACCCAACAGACUUGUAAUCUAACCCACACUUAUCAAGAAGUAUUCUCUGAAAUAAUACUAAAAAUCUAACACACUUAAGUUAUUCAGCGAGAGCUUGACAGAUCUGAAUAAGAAUUCAAACUUAAUUAGACCAUAUUUACUUGUUAUAGUGAAAUUUGUAAUCUGUUAGAUAAAGACGCUCAGCUAACAUGAGCCAAUGUGUAUGAGGCAAUUCUGGGAGGGGUUUGAUAAACAAUUUUGAUAUUCUCUUGUUUUAAGUAAGGGUGUGGAAGAGAGUUGCCUUAAGCCUGACUUAGGUAUGACUUAGUAAGCAUAAUUUUUUUGUAGUUUCCACUCGUUAAAAAUGUAAACUUGUUUUUGUUUUCUUAAUAAGUUUAACUUGGUUCACUUUUAAAUCACAAGAUAACAGUUUUUUUUUAAUUUUUGUAUAUUUAAUUAAAAUAAUAUACACAUACAAAAGAGGGAGUGAGUGAGAGCUUUUAAAACGUAGGUUUGAACCUAAUUAAAUAUAAUUUUUUUAAUAAAUUUAAAAUAAACUCUCAUAAUAUCUUAGAGUGAGUUUCAGUCUACUAAUGAAUUAAGUUGAGGAGCAUUUGAAUGACUGGACUGACUUCCAACCUUCUAAUACAAAACACAUUAUUUGUUCUAUUUUUAUACUCCAAUAAAACAAUUUCCCAGAAUAUCUCUGCGAAAGACUGCUAGUGUUGACUAGCAGAUUAUAAAUACCUGCACCUGGAGGUCCUACCACAGAGUUGCAUGUAAAAAUUAUAGCAAUAACGGGUUAUAAGCUAUUAUACGUUUUUAACUCUAGCUAAAAUGUUGUUUUAUUACAUGAAUUUUAUUUUUAUCUAGCUCAACUUUAGAACAUGUUGAUUGUUGUACUUCAUUAUUUCCUUUCAAGGUUUCCCCUUUUUUUUGGGAGGCUGGAUGCUUAUCCCGGUUAAGUAAUUGAACUAGGUUAUUAAUUGCCGGCUGCUAGUUUGGCUCUUCAAAAUGAGUUUCUAGAAUUUGUUAAUUUUGGCCCAUGGAUCAUUUACAAAAUAUAAAUUUUAUUUGCCAUGAAAAGAAAAGAAAAUCUCACACGAGGUAUAGCUAGUUAAGCGCAGGUGAUUUUACUUUGGUUGGAUUUUUUGGUUAUAUAUGAAAAACAUUUAGACCAUUGUAGUACGUAUAGUUGCUUGGGCUUUACAAAGCAAUGGAUAGGGUAGGAAAAUUUGAACCACUCCACCCGGCAUCUGUCCUAUGAGGACUGGGUUAGUUAAUGCUUGGACUGUGUUUUGGGGACCAACUGUGGGACGAAUUUAUAGAAUGGAAAAUGAUGCACGAAUUUGUCAUAUUAGUAGAUGUGAUAGAUGACAUGAAAUAAUAAAAGAUAAUAAUGAUAAACAUGUAUUCUGUAAAUAGAAAUAAGAGAGAGAUAGAAAAAAAAAUUAAAGAAGAGAAAAAAAGUUAAAUAAUCUCAUCCUAAAUAGUCCAAUAAAAUUAUAUGGAAAUUUGUGUAUAAAAAUCUAAAUAAAUGGAUGUAAUUUUAUUGGGCAAAUAAAAUGAAAUUGUUUAACCUCAUUUUUAGUUGGGAUUAAUUAAACAAAUCCAAAAAAAUUAUAAAUAUACUAACAAAUAUAUGAGGGUGAAUAACCAGAAAAAUAAAGUGAAAAUGAGCUAAUUAAAAAACAAAGUAGAUGAUGCAUUUUUAGACAAAAUCAAAUUAUUUACAGAAGUUUCAUCUAUAGCCAAUAUGCAGUCAAAUCUCAUCUAUAUUGAUUAGUCGUUAUACAUUAAUUUAAGGGGGGGAGAGAAUGUAAUGCAUGGUUCAAAUUAUGGAUGCAGAGAAAAUGGUGCUAGAGAGAGACAGCAGAAAUUUUUGGCUGAUUUUUCUAUACAAUAUUUUUCUUUCUUCUAUAUUAGUAAGUAUUUACUACAAUAAAAAGAGAGAAAAGAAAAAAGACGGAUACCAAUAGAGCGUUUCCCCUAUUGAAAUGUUUUAAAAAAAUAUUACUCUUAUUUUUUUUGAAAAAAAAAAUACUUAAAUAAAACUUACUAUUCUGGUUCCUUUUUAAUUAUGUUUUAAGGUUCCAUAGAAAUCAAGUAACAAAUGUAAUAAAUUUUCUUGGUCUAUUAAAAUGGUUACAUAAUUUUCUAUUUUAUCCUUUUUAUUUUUACUCUACAAUACAUGUAUAUAUUAGUUUUUUUUUUCAUUUCCACUAUAAAUGUGUAAAUCACUACUACCAAUUAGCAAAUAGUAUUAUAGUUGGAAAAAAUAAUUAAUGAUAAAUAUCUUGAAAUUUAAAAAUAAUAAUUAAAUAAUAUUUUCUUCUCUAAAAGUUCCGCACUUAAAAAGAUACAAAGGGAAUAAUCUCGGUUUUCAAUUCAGGAGUUGAGUUUCACAAUUACCAGUGCCUGCAUUGAAGCCGCUCGUUUCACACUCGCACCCACAUAAACACACAUUAACUUGUUGGUGUUUGAAAAUAAUAUUGUAAAAAAGAUAAAUAAUAUAUCAUAAUAUAUAGUGUUAAUAAAAUAAAUUCAUUCCAAAAAGAUAACAAAAAUAAAAUUUAGUUCUUAAAAGUAUAAAAAAUGAGACAAAUCCAUUAACAUUAGAAAACUCACCUACAUAAACACGUAUGGAAGAAAAUGUUAGUUGACAUUAGUAACAAGAUACUAACAAUAUAUUAGACUUACAACUUUCUGAUUUGUUAUUGUAAAUAUUUAUUAUAAUACAUUAUAAUUAUAAUUAUAUUUAUAAUGUCAACUUAUUAUACAAAAAUCAAGAUUCAAGAAGAGGCAAAAUAAAGGUAAGUUCUCAAAUAACAAAUCAAUUUGUCAAAUUCUAAAUGGAUUAUCCAUAAGUAAAAGAAAACAAAUGAGAGAUCCAAUAACCAGAACUGCAAUACUUUUAUAGCUUCCUCUCUCAGUUAGUGAUCACCAAUAUAUUUAUAAUAAACAUUAAAGAAAAAAGUGAGACUAAUUUGUCCAUAAAAGUAUACUUUGUCACUUUUUUAUUUGACGUCUAUUAUAAUUAUAUAGGUAAUUCAUUAAUUGAGCAGUGAAGCUAUAAAACAUUGUAGUUUUAAUUGUUACACCUCUCGUGCUUGUUUUCUUUUACUUGUAGAUGAUUCAUUUAAGAUUUGACAAACUAAUUUUCUAUUUGAGAACCUAUUCCUAUCUUAUCUUCUUUUGAGUUUUGAUUCAUCUGUGAUAAGUUGAUGUUAUAACUAUAAUUAUAAUUAUAAUAUAUUAUAAUAAAUAUUUGUAAUAUUAAAAUCAAAACCUUCUAAGUCUAAUGUAUUCUUGGUACAUGUAUCUUGUUACUAAUGUUAACUAAUUAGAUUUAUAUAUUUUAUAGAUAUAUUUAUCAAUAAAUUAUAUAAUUGAAGGACAAAAAUAUUAAUAAGUUAUUAAAUUUAGAGAUGUAUUUGUUAUUAACUUUAGCCCAUAUGUCAACAUCAGCAUCAAUUCCGUGACAUUUUUAUUUCUGUGUGUCACGUAAGUAAAUUUCACAACGUUAAUAGAUGAAAGUUAACGGUAAGAUAGAUUUGUCUCACUUUAUAUAUUUUUAUAGACUAUAUUUUAUUUUUUCAUCUUUCAAGGAUAAAUUUAUCAACAUUAUACACUUUUAAAAAUAAAAAUGAUUAUUUAUACUAUAAAAAAAAUAAAAUAUUGUUUAAAAUGUUGAUAUGAUUGCUUUAACUAGAUCACGAGUACAUGUUUGUCACUACAACAUCUAUGGGGACUGGACGAACCAAUUGAAUCUAUGAGAGGUUGGAGAUAAGGUAACUAAAGAAACUUCCUUUUGGAAAUGAGGCAUGAAUGGGGAAAAGAUAAAGCUUGGAUUUCCCCUUCCAAUUAUGCAGCAGGAAGAAUUGGAAGAAAAGAAGUUCUGAGUGUGCAUAAGAUCGAAGUUUAAAAGGCAUUGGUAUAUACUUUUUUGGGUUAGGUUUCGAAUUUCUUCUUAACAUUAUUUUCCUGUGUUUUUUCAAUUCCAUCCUGCAGUUUUCACUUAAGAGCUUCAUAUAUAGUACUUUAAUGUUAAAUUUUAGAGGUUUGAGGCUUAGCUAGCUUACACGUAUAUUCAGAUACAUUAGAAAUCUUAAAAAUUUGAGUGUUAUUCAAUAUACAUGUUUCAAAAUUCUUGAAACAUUAAUUUUUUGUAAAUAAAAAGAAUCCAACCUGCAUCCACCAUCUUUUCUUUUUUAAUUAUCUAACUGAUCUUAUAUCUAAAAAAAAUCCUACCAUAUUAUAGGAAGAAUAAUUAUACCAUUGAUAUUUAGCAUACAGAAUCAUUAUAUCAAACAAUAGGCACUUGGUUGUACCAGUGGGUGCUCAAACUUGGAGGGACCUGGAUUAGGAUUUAGGAACCAUGAUCAGACAUAUAGGAAGGUGCAUUAGAGAGGUAUGAUAUAUACAUAUUUUAGGAAAGAAGCCACUUUGGGGCUAAGAGAACACUCGGUCAAUAUUUGCGUAUAGCACGAGUUCACUGCUGUCGUACUAUGGUACUCAAUCUACUGUUAGAGCAUUUAUAUCUCAUUUCUUCUUCCUGUCAAAACCUUGCAGUGUUGAACAUGACAGAUCCUUAGGAACUCUAGAAUUAAAGGUCACUGGGGUACCAAUACCAUACAUGUCGAGAUGAUAUCAAGUUCCUCGUCAUUAUGUAAAGGAUAAAUGUAAUAUUUUCUUGUUCUUCAAAAUUAAACGUUUAUAUUCAAAUUAGCUAUAUUUAUAAUUUUAUUUUAUAUUAUUUUCGGCUCCCUUUCAUAAGUGGUUCUUUGUUUUUUUUUCCUUAUUAUAUCUAGAUUUAUUAGUUUUUUUUAGAGCAAACUAGUAUAUUUUUUUGUUUGAACCAAAACAGUAUGCUCGUAUUAUUAUACAAGUAAUUGAAAUAUCCGAAGGCUUUAACGAUGAAAUGAAUUGUUUUAUAAAACAUAUAUACUCUUUGGGUUGUUUCUUUUGUCUGAUUACUGUCAUUAAUUGUAAUUCAUCCGUUAUACAUACGAAGGAUAGCAAAAAUAUAAAAUCUGAAAACUGACUUCUAAGUAACCUUAAGACACAACUAAGUUCCAAAAGUAGGGGGAAUAUACAACUAGGUGUGCACUUAGAAAUAGAAUUCAACCACUGCCACUUGUUAUGUAACUGUGCGUGCGAAAAAAAUCAACAAAUUUAAAACACUUGAAUUAUUUAGUACAGCUCAUCAUGAUUAGACACAAUUCUUGUACUGAAAAUUUUAUUUAAUUAAUUUGAUAUCCAUGCAUCCUAUGAGCAAAAUAAUAAUAACAAUAUAAGAGUAACAUAAUUAAAUUAUAAAUUUUGAAUAGUUAGUAAAAUAUUCGUACAUUCUUUCUUCAAAAUAAAGACUUGAAAUUUACAAUUUUUAUGAUGAAUUAGACAUUAAUAUUAAAAUGUUUUCAUUGAUAAACUGUUAACGCAAACUAAAAUAUUAUUAAUUUGAUGUUGUUUUGAUCUUAUGCUUGUUGACAUUGUUAAGUUAUCGUAUUUGAAAUAUUAUCUAUUUGGAUGUAAUGAUUCUAACACUAUUAGUGGAUUUGAGAUGAACAUGCAUUGAUGUUAAAAGAAGAACUUCAACCAAUCUUAAUAUAUAAUUCUUAGUUUUGAUUGUGACACUUGUUUCAGUAUGUUAAUAUAUAAUUUCACAUUGCUUAAAAGUUGAUGUUAUGGAUAAUUUAUAAACAUUAUUUUUUCUUAAUCCACCAAAACAAUUUUUAAGGGUAAAGUCAUGACAGACUAUUGAGCAUCAAAUCAAGUAAUACCUUCUUAAUUUAUCAUGACACAACAAUAACAAAAUUUUAUCUUAUGAGAUGAGAUCGAUUACAUGAAUUACAGAAUACCAUUUAGCACGAUUAAGAAUAAAAGUUUCAAUAAUAUUAAUAAAUUUUAGAUUUCCUUCAACUUCCUUUUUGUCUCUUUCUUCUCAUUUUCACAUGACUAAAAUUAAUGCAAUAUAGUCUUCUAAUUAGCAUCUUUUGUGGUUUUCUUUGUACAUGUCAAAAUCACCUUAAUUAAUAGAUUUUUUUAUUUCUUUUUUGGAUGUCACAUCAAUCUUUUUUUAUAUACAAUUAUUCUAUAUUCUAUCAUUUCUUCCAUCUUAACAUUUUUAUUAUGCUAAGUACCCUCUUUUUUCUCUCAUAUUGUCUCUUUAAAUCCCAUCUUCCACUACCAUAUAAUAUAAAUAGAUAUAUGGUUAUACGAUAAAACUUAUAUUUGAGUUUUGUAAAUACUUUGUAAUCACAAAUAAUCUUGAAUUUAUUUCUCCAUGUAAGUCAUCCCACUUGUACGCAUUCUGUGUGAUUUUUAAUCAUUAAUUUCUCCAUUAUUUUGUAUGAUUGAUCUCAAAUGUUUAAAAACUUAUAUAUAAACAUGUGGUAUGACAUAUUCUCUCAUUUUUUACCCCCAACCCCAAAUAAUCUUGUCUUUUAUUAAAAUUGCAAUGCAUAUAUUUUGUCUUGCUCCUACUUAAGCAAAAAUCCUUUGUUUCCAAAGUCUAUCUCUAGAGUCCAAGCUUACUUUUAAUUGCUUCCUUUGAUUCCUCAAUCAAGACUAUAUCAUCCACAAAAAGCAUGCAAUUAGGGAUAAUAUUCUACAAGUCCUUGUUAAGCGUCCAAGAUUAGAUUAAACACUUAAGAACUUAUAGUUAAGCCUUAAUGCAAUAUUUUUUAUUUUAAUCCUUCAGUUCAUCAAGGGACAGUGAUCACAUCUAAUUAAGAGUUUGGUUGAGAAGUACGUAAAGUUCGAUAAAAAUUAUUUUCACUAAGGAUCGAAUUCAAGUAAUACACAAACGAUUCAAUCUUAAUUUCAAUACAUUAACAACUUGUGUUCAAUCACUUGAUUUCCUUAAUAUAAUCAUAACCCAAUAAAAUAAAAAACUUAGUUUCACGUCUUAAAGUUCUCAAACUAAUAAUUACUCAUUCAUACAAGUCUUGUAUAACAUAAGUCAUGUGCACAUGUUUUUCUCUCCAAAGUCUUCUAUUCUAUUGCUCUUCUCUUAGUACAGUUUUUUCUAGGUCAAUUAAAACCUAGCUAUAAGCAUGAUACAUGAUGUUAAAAAUCUUGACAAGUUUAGCUCUUUUUUGGGGAUGUAUUAUAAUUACAAUCUUAAUUGUUUGGUUAAAUUUGUUUUGUAGUGUUUGGCAUACGGUUUAAAUAGGAUAGAAUGUUUUUAUACUUUUAUUUUAUCGUGAUUUCAUUCAGCUCGUCCAAAUAAACUUAUUUUUUCCAUAAUUUUUUUUAUAAUAUAUUAAUCAUUGUGUGUCGUUGUUUAUUUUUAAAAGGCAAACACUGUAUACUCGUCUAUCCUCAUUUUCUAUUUUUUGAAAUUGAAUUUACUGCAUAUGCAUUUAAUAUGAUUUGUUUUUAUCAAUGUAACUAAUGAGAGAGGUUGAGAAUUGAAAUAAAAUAGUGAGAUAUUUUGCAAUAAAAUUUAAAAGGUGAAAUAGUUUUUAAAAUGUUUAGACCAAAUAUAUGAGAGUCAUGAGAGAGUGAGGGAGUUACGCAUGUAGGUAAGAUUGAAAGAAUGUAAUAGUUACUAUUGUUGUGUUUGUGAAUUGUCUUUUAUUAUUAUUAUUUUAGUCCUAAGCACGUGAUAUUUUAGUAAGAUUUAAUUAAUACAGAACAUUAAAAGUAAAAUAUUAUAGAACUAAAUGCAUAAGCUAUGAAAUAGUUCAUAUUUAAUAUUAUUAAUAUAACACGUGGGGCCUUUUUGUAGUUAAACGUCAAUUCAAUGACGACUGAUAUAACAAUAAACCUUUGUUGAUACUUGUGUAAGUUCUGGCUUUUGAAUGUCAUUCCAUUAUUUAUAUUUUUUAUUAUAAAAUAAUGUAGAAUGAAUCGUUACAACCUCGUUUUUUUUAAUAAAUAGGUAUUUAGUUUCAAACUAUGAUAAAUUCCACUUUACAUUUGCAUCCUAAGGAAAACAAAACCCAUUAAACAAGAAAGAUCAGACCGUAGAGAAUGUCUCGGAGUUGGAUUUUGGGAGUAAAAAAGACAUUCUUAUUUUUAAUAAAUAUUCUCCAUUUUAAUAUUUAUUAAAUAAAAGAAAUAAAAUAAGAAACUAGAAUAAAUUUAACAUCCCAAUUUUUAUUUAAAAAUUUGAGACAUUAUAAAAAUGGAACAAUUUGCCUUUUAUUCUCCUUUCCCUCUAAAUUAUACUCUCAAACAUAUCACACUAUCUUAAAUUCAAUGUCUUGUUAUAAAUGUCGAAACGAAGGAUUGGUAUUGAGAAAUGCUUGUAGCCCUCCGUCAACGCCAAGAUAACGUACACAAACUAGGAGUCAGUAUUCAGAAAUCAGAACCGUUGCAUCCCUAUUAAUGUUGGGACUUAAAACCCCUGAUCUUAGAUGUGAUUUUAAUCUUUGAAGCGCUAACAAGAGUUUUAAAGAAUUUUAUAUUUUAUUUUUGGUAUAUAAAGUUUAAGAGAGAAAAGUCAGUUCAAGGCAUAAGUCAUAAGACAACUUUUCACGAUUCAGAGUGUAUGUAGUACGUAAUAUAUGUAUAGUACUAAAUGAUUGUAUUUAUAGGAAUCAAAACAAACACUUCAAUUUUUUUUUUCUUUUCCAGUUAAACCAACCUGAUUCGUUAGUGGUUUUGACCGUUAAUUUAUAAGGGUUUAGAAUUUAGAAGCAUGUAUACAUAGACUAGGAUUUAAUUCCCUUAAACCAAUGAAAUAUAUAGUGAGAAAGUAAGGAGUUAAAUUAACUUCAAAUAGGAAAUGCACAGAAAAAAGAUGGGAUGUGAAAAGUGAAAACUGAGGCGCUAUCGCUUGCAGGAUGACCAAGACAGCAAGGAACCCUACAUUAGCAGAACAAGAGAAAACAUGCACCUAACAAAACAAGCCUGUACCAAAGUAUCGAAUCUAUAUUAAUGGACCAGUUGUAAUUUAUAUAUUGGUGUAACCCUUGAAUUACUUUCAUUUUCAUAAUUAGGGCCUGCGAAAUUGUCGUGCCCUACAUUGGAGAUGAGAUCAAAAUAUGGAAUUUUCCAAAUGGCUAUCCUGUCAAAAUGAUGAUCAUGAGCAUUCUGUACGCUUGCGUAUGAUCAUGAACAUCAUCAAAUCUGUUUCUUUUUUCCUAAAUCCAGCUCAUUUAGCUUUAGGUUAAAAAAGACAUUAUAGAAUCAAUUUAAGUGACCCGUUAACUCAACCACUGGAAAGCUUGGUUUGUUAACCCUUUAAGCUGCCACAAUUAAAGAUGUAGAAUAGUGACAAGGUUCAAAACACAAUAAGGAAAGAUAUCUAUGUCUCUUCUAACAAUAUUGAGCAUGUAUAUAUACAAUACCAGUUUGUAGGAAGAGAUAGAAUUAAAAUUACACUGGAUUUCCACCCUCCUGGGCGCAUAGUUCAAGUGAUUGUGAUAGGUAUGGAAUUUUUAUAGAUGUCAUAAGUUCAAGUUGUGGCAACAACUCUUUGAUACAUAAAAAUAAUAAUUGCACAGGGUUAUCAAAAGUAAAAAAAAAAAAAAAAACUGUAAAGAUCAUCAGGUCAUCAAUUAUUACACCAUCAGAUUUCUCAGAAAUUAUGUUGGCAAAUAUAUUAAACAGUAAUGCUCUAGUCAGAACAUCAGUUACCUGCUGAUCCAUGCAUGUUUCCAUGUCUAGUACAAUAAACCUAACAUAAAGAGGAGGCAUAAAAAUGGAAAGGAAAACAGAAACUCUAUAGAGUAGAAGGUCAACUUCUGUUGUAAUAUAGAUUGUAUACAUAGCAAUAACAAUUUGAGUGCAUGAAUCCCUAAGCCCUAAGCAUCAUCCAUUUUGUUCUUGCUCAGAAACUUGCAAAUAUAGUUACCAAAAUCUGGAAUGCCUUAUCAAAACAUCUUGCUGGUCCAAUGGAUUGUAGCCAUAUCUAUGACCUCUGAAAAGCGAUCAAAAGAUCCAUCCCUUUGAAUUGAAGAAACUUGGCAGUGAAAUAAUAUGGAUACAGUUAUACAUAAUCAUCAGAAAGCUAAAAUUUCAAGCAUGCAUGAAUUUUUAACAGGCUAAAAGGAAUCAAUGCUUGGCAUGCUAACAUCGGAACAUAAUUAACAGUUAUCCCAGUGUUUGUUGCCCAUAAUUUUGCCUUAAGAUGUAAAGGGUUAAAAUUUUCAAUAGCUAUAUAAAUACAAAAAAAAAAUUCAAUAGUUAAUAUUCUUCACUAUAUGUUCUGUGGUUAUAAAAUUACCAUAUUUAUGAUUAUUCUUCACACCAAACCCUCGGUUAUAAUUCAUACCAAUAUUUAUGAUUAUUGAGUUAAUUGCUUAAGAAAAACUACGAAAGUAAGAAGGUUUUAACUUAUAAUUGCUACCGAGAAACUAUUUUCUGAUACAUCACAGAGCUUGUGUGAAAUACGUUGUUGACUUCUAUUGAUCGGUGCUUGAAUUCGCAGAGAAUGUAAAUUAGAAAAAUCCCCAACAUUUACAAGGAUAACUGCAGUUUUAGCACAAAAAAAAAAAAAAAAACAAGGUUAACUGCAGACAAAAGCUGAAUUUUUUAUCCUGAUCCUUGUAAACCUUGCACCAAAAGUACAUCAGUGCUUUUCACCAUUGAAGACUAACCAGUUACAUUAAUAAAAAACUAAAAGCAUGAAUAAAGCUGCUAGCGAGUGACUUCAUGACUUUUGAUAAUACUUGUUAAAUCAAACUUUAAAUAUUGGACAGAUAUAAUACACGCAGGACGCAGCAAACCUUUAUGAGAACUUUCACAUGCCAUUGGCUGAUUAUCAGCAAGAAUCAGUACAAACAUUGUAAAAUGGGAAUAUAGGGCAGAAAAAAGUUUAUGAUAGAGAGAAGAAACACAGAACUAUGAGAGAUGAUGAUUACAACGCAAAGCACACUUGAGAAUUUCGUUCUGAUCAGAUUUUACCGAAAACUAGCACAUUUUAGUGUCGACUCUGAUUGAUGCACUGGUCCCAAGAAUUUUCCAAAGAUUUUGAAUGUAGCUCUACAAAUCUGGACGCAGAGAAAAUCACUAAAACAUCAACACAAGUUGAAAACCUGAGAAGCAGUGAUUUAAUUAAAGAAGAAGAAAUUAAAAAAAUUAAAACUUACCACGGGUUCAUGAAACACGUAGAUAGAUUCAUGGUGCUUAUUCCACAAUAGUUAACGGCCCCAUUAGUACUCUCCCAGUUUGGAGUAGUGGAAUAGGGUAAUAGGGGGAACUCAUUGUUGUUGAAACUUGCUUCCCUAGGGAUCACAAGGUUUGGUUGAGAUAACGGCUUCAUGUUCCUUUUUAUCAUAAUAGAUUCUUCAAUGACGUUAAAGCCAUGAUCUCUUGGAGCUUCAUUAUCAUCAACGAAAUAAGGGUUAUAAUAAGGCUGAACCCAUCUUGCACGAGGUUCUUCAGGUUCAGGCUGAAUGGAAGACCACAAUUGGUGCAGCAUUUGAGUAGUGUUUGUUGUUGCAGGGCACCUUUCAUCAAAGUCUUUCUGCUGCUGCACCCUUAUACUGCUACACUUCUUGAAACAAGUCCUUUCUCUUGCCCUUGCCCUUGCCCUUUCCCUUGACUCUUUUUUGUUCUGAAUACAAGCAUCACCCCUCUGUGCCCAUUUCAGCUUCCUCCCUUUAGAACCAUCACCAACACCACCACCCACCAUUGAUUUGUUGUUGUUGAAGUUGUUAUUUGAAUCCCCAGAAGGGUCGCGUGAAGACUUGUCACCCCCAGUACUAACACUACCGCUAUGCUUACUUCGGGCUAGUUCUUUGAUUGCAUUCUCAGACUUUGUGAAGAGCCACUCAAGGGUGUUACUUGGUUUGUCAAACUCUAACAUGUCCUGAAGAUCAAAGAACUUCCGGGCUAUUUCGCUUGAUAAUCUCACCCUCCGGUCCCUCAAACCCUGAGAUGUGUGAAUCUUACUGUGCCUGUCUUUUUUGGCUGUGGCUGCUGCAGGUUUCUGAUGGGUGAGGAAAUUGGAAAUGCUGCUACCAUAGUGGGAACCAUAGUUAGUGUUUGCUGCUGCAUCGUGUUGAUUAUCAAGCAUGGCAGUGCAGUGAUGAUCAGCAACUGCAAAAUUGGCAACGGUUUCUUCAGGGAAUGGAGGAGGAUCAUGUGUGAGGGGAACAACAAGAGGGUCCUCAACCAGAAGAGUGUGGCUUGCAAAAUCAUUUUCAGAUUCAAUGAGAAAAGGAAGGAUUGGGUAAGUAGACAAAGGGAAGUUAGGGAAAAAGUUGGAGUCAUAUGUGGAAGAGAACAUCUGCAGAUUGGAAACCAAAUUUCAGUGUGGUGAAAACCCUAGCUAUUAUGCAGUGAGUAAAAAGAUCACAAUUAUAACACAGAGGUAGCUUCUCUGCUCCUACUUAACGGUCCAAGUACAGUCCUACUACUCUUAUAUAAUCAUUUUCUGAGAUUCCCCAUCUCUAUCUUUGAAAGGAGACUACUAGCUGCUAAGUACUAAGUACCAUUAAAGAAUUAUUAUUGUUAUUAUUAUUUUUUGUUUUUUUUAAGUAUAUUUUUAAAAAAAGAAAAAGAGAAGUAUGUAUGUUGUUGAGGAAAGUGAGGACAACAGAAAGGGAGAUUUAGUUUAGGCCAAUGAAGUACUUAGAUCAUAAUUUCAUUUAUUUUGUGAAUACAACUACAAUAUUACCAAUCUGGGUUAGGGCAGAGGCAGAAAAUCUAGCUCAAGUAUCAGGACAGACACCGAUCAAAAGGACACAAAUAAUUUUUUGGUUUGUACCAUAUUCAAAAUAUUACUAGCAUAUUCAAGGCCAUCAACUUCGAGAAGAAUGUUAUACAAAAAUUAAGUGACAUACAUCAACAUAAGUACAUAUACUUCACGGCGAAUUUAUUAAUUAUGGUAAAGACGAAUUAAAUUACAUAAAAAGAAUGCCAAAGGAAGUUAGAAAGAGAAGAGUGGUACAUAUGGAAAAAAAUUGGGAAAAAAACAAGUGCUUACUAAGGGAUAGUUUGAUUUAGCUUUUAAUUUAGAAGGUUUAUUAAUUGAACUUUUUAAGGGUAGUUAUACAAUUGAAAAAGAAAACAGCCCUAACUUUGUGGAUCUAGUUUUGAUGGGUUUUAUCCGAAAGGUAAUGAACUUUUGAAGUUGAGCCGUACAGGAAAUGUAAAAGGUAGGUGAGAAGCUGUAAUAGCUUCUCAGCUGUUUGUUCUGUAAAAACUAAACCGCAAAUAUACAAACUCGUCAGGAAAAAUAAAAUUACAUUUUUUCAUUUUCUGAAAAGCUGAAAGUAGUACAAAUUGACUAAAAACUUGGUGUUCUUUUUUAAUGCGCCCACAUUACUUCAUUUCAAUCCCGAAAAAAGCUCAUUCAUCUCUGACAGCGAUUGCAGCUUCCCUGGGAUACAUAUGUGUAUGUGUACUCGUUAUAGUAUUUAAGUACAUGAAUACGUAGGUGCUUAAAAAAACAUUUAGUUAUUUACAUGCAUAUUAUAAUUCUAUCUGUCACUUUAAUUAAUUCGUCAAAAAUUGAUUUCAUUCCCUAGACUUUUUAACGGUUAAUCUUGUACAAUAUUUUGCUUUUAAUAAGGAAAAAUGAAUGAUAUAAGUAAAAAAUAAUGCGCAAAUUGAAUAUUUUACCACAAAACAAUUGUUAAGCCAGUACUAUUGAUAUGUAACCUUGUUUGUCAAAUUAAGAAUAGAAAUUAUUUUUUUAAAAUACAAUAUAUAUAUAUAUAUAUAUAUAUAUAUAUAUAUAUAUAUAUAUAUAUAUGUAUGUGUGUGUGUGUGUGUAUAAUUACUUUGAGAUUUUCUAAUUCCAGCCGCAUGGUAUAGUUUCAAAAAUAUGGUGCCAAGUAGAUGCAGUGGUAGUGGCAGCUAGUAUUCAGUUUCAGAAUGCCUUAAAUUUGAAGUCUCACAAGAAGAUUGAAAAUAAAUCUAUUUCAUGGACUCACCCUCCAAUUGGGAGCUACAAACUAAAUUGUGAUGGGGUAGUCAAUGGUGACUUCACUACCAAAAAAUAGCAUUUUUCCGACAGCAAAAAUCCCGGAGUUUUCAGGAAUUCCUUGGGUCAUGUUAUUUUCUCCUUUUCUGCUAUUGAACUUUGUUCUGUUGUCAUGGCUGAAUUGUGAGCCAUUAAAAUUGGUGUGCAGAUUGCUUGGAGUCGUGGUUUCCAACAGUUUCAAGUAGAAUCAGACUCGCAAGUAGUAGCCAUUACAUUGCUCACUAGUGGAUGUCCUACUUACCAUCCAUGCCUUAGUUUAAGUCAAGAGAUACUGAAGUUCCGGGAGCUUGGAGGUAGCAUUCUGUGGCAUCAUGCCUUAAGAGAAGGAAAUCAAGUGGCUUAUUAUUUAGCUAAGUUUGGUUUGUCCUAAGAUAUAUAGACAGCUACAAAAUUUUGAGAUUGUUCCUCAAUUUUUAUUAACUGUAGUUUUAGCAGAUGUAUCAUCUAUCAUGUUUCCUCGUGAUUUUUAAUGUAUCGUUCUAGGGGAUUUCCCCUUCCAUUUACCAAAAAAAAGUUGGACUAUUAGAUAUUUUAUGCAUGAUAGGAGGUUUUGCCUAAACAAGGCAUUGCCAAUGGAUGCUUUGGGGCCAAACAUAGAUGCAUGUGAAAUUGUUGUAUCGAUAAAUAAGCAUUAUUUACUCAAGAGUUCGCAUUGGUUGGAUGAAAAUGAGAGCACGAAAGACUAUGUCAAUUUAAUUUGUUGACGCACAAUAUCCACGUUGUAUAUUGCUAAAUUGUAAAAUUACAAUUUAGUAUAAUUUAUGACAUAUAUUUCAAAAUAAUUAACAUCAAUAUAAGUAUAACAUUGUGUUAUACUAAAAUAUUAUUCAAAAAAGAAUACAGAAAAUUAAACCAAGUUAGAUAACCCAAAGGUAUAACUGGAACUCAUUUUUUAAAAAUAUAUAACAUUUAAUUACUAAAACUUAAAUUCAUCAAAUUAGAAUUAGACAGGAAAAAUUUACCGAGACUAAUAAGAAAAUUAAUUAAUUUAGUUAAUAAUAUUUAAUUUAUCCUCAAUUUAUGUUUUUUUUUAAAUUAUCCAUAACAUUAACGAGACAUACGUUUAUUCUUUAUUCAAAUAUUUUUAUUAGUUUAAAUUCUUUUAAUUAAUUAUCUCUUCAUUAAUAUAUCUAUACAUAUUGCUUUAUUUUAUAUUGGUUAUGCUUGUCAUUCUAAACCAAAUUCUUUCUUGGUCGUUACAUUGAAGGUGCAAGUCCAGUAAGUUGGAGUAAUUGGCUUUACCUAUAGAAGGGGUUAAACAGGAGACUUUUUAUGAAAAGGACCAAAGGAAAUAUAAAUUAUGAACACUAAAACCACAGCUAUUCAAGCCUUGGAAUACAAUUGAAAAUAUGUAGAUUAAAUAUGAUAAGAAUCAACGUUAACUUAUUUAUAUAAUUAAUAUAAGCGCCGAUUAAAAAAAAUUAUACAAUGUAAGUUUAUUUUUUAUGUCUAAUAUGACAUUCAUAAUAUACUAUUAAUUUAGAAGAUUAUUUUACUUUAACGCCUCUAAAUAGGGUAUAAAAUUUUCUUUCAAUAAGAUUAUAGGCUUGAUUCUCUAUUUAGGUCAAAUGCUUAAUAUAUAAAAAAGAUAAAUUAACAUAAUAAUUUUAAUACAUUAUAAAAAUUUAAUAAACUAAUUAUAUUAACAAAAUAUUAUUAUUUAUAAUUACUUAAUUAAAUUUACCAGUCUAUUAAACUUAAAAUACUUUUUGAAUAGUGAAUUCGGUGUAAAUUAGUGAUGGACAACUUCAACUCGUGCAACUUCAAUAAUAAUGAAUUUGGUACUUUGCCGAAAAAUUAUAGAUUGAACAUUCAGUUUAUUUUAGUGUUAAGUUUGCCCAUGGACAUGAUUAAGUGAGACGCUCAUACUCUAGCUAAGAUAUCUAGAUUGUUUGUUAGUGCACAAGUUUUUAAUUCAGUUCCACAAUGUAUUAAGUAUGUUCUUAUGGUUGAAAUAAUGAGAUGCUUUCCUUAAAAAAAAAAAGAUUUUUUGAAUGUCUAAAGUCCUAAAGACUAAUUUUUUUUAAUCAAAUAGGUUUUUAAAAAAAUCUUAAUUAGCCUAGUUUAUUAAGUAUAAAAAAAAGUCUAAGCUAAAACUUGGCUUGAUGUAGGUUAGACCAAUGAUCAUUGUCAAAAGGUCUGACUUAUUUUCACUUCUAAUUUCAUGUCAUUACCAAUCUUUAGAAUUUUGAAAAUCAAAUCAAACUAAUUGGUUGAACCUGUCAACUGUUAGAUUUGAAUAAAUUACAGAAAUGGCUUAGAGAAAAAUUGGUCAAAACUGAUAAAUAUCAAUAAAUAAAAAAAUUGUUUCGCAGCAAGUAAAAAAAAAAGUUUAGUAUAACAUUAUUUUGAUUUUUAAAAAAAUAAUCUAAAGUAUUUAUCAUAAAUUUUUAUUUUAGAUGUUAACCCGUUAUUGUUAAUAAAUGUUGUUAUGUGUUGUUGAAACUGAUAUAUUUUAUUUGAAUUUGUAUGUACAUUUAAUUUUAAAAUUUAAAACUCAAUAAAAAUAUAAUUUACUUUUAUUCUUUUAGUAUUAUAAAGUUAUAGCAUUACGUUUCUUUGAUAUUAUUGUGUGUUUUUAGUUAUUGUUGUUUUUAUUAACCAUAAUUGAAUCAUUGUUAAGUUUUAAAUCAGUACUAUAAUGAGUUCAAUGACUAUUCUGAUUUUAAAAACACUGCUAAUAACUCAAAUUUUAUGCUAUAUCUUAAAGUAUAAACAAAACAUUCUAUAAUUACUGGUUUUCAAACUACAGUAGCUCUCUGUUUGCAAACACUGCUAAUAAUAAUCAUAGUUCAAUUCAAUUGAUCAUAAAUUCAACUGUUACUUCUCUAUCUGUUUUUAUUUUUUAAGAAGAAGCAGCGCGCCAAAUAAACCAUGCAAUAUACUAGGACCACUAACCACUUUGCCCGGAAUUUGUACAGAAUCUAAAUUGAUUAUAAUGGCUGUUUAAUAAAAUAUUGCGAGGAGAUGUAAAAAAAAAUUACUCUUUUAAGAUUUUGCCAAGUUAUCUAAAAAAAGGGAAAUGGAUGGACCAUGCAUGUUGGGUGAUACAAACCUCACAAUAAGAGAUAUGCACCCUACUGUCUCAUAGUGGACCGGCUAGUUAACAUAGCAAUAAUUGCAUUGAUAGCUAAGCAACAGUUGGCAUGCAUCCAAUCCAUCAACCUAGAAACUAAACAUUUGAUCUUUGAUGUGCGUGUUCACUACACUGAAUACUAAUAGAUAGAUAGAUAUCUUUCUCAUCUUUCAUUGAGAAUAUAAAAUUGUGAUAUACAUCUGAAUCCGAAGUAGAAUUGGUAAAUUCAUUGGGUCACCCGAUCUGGUUCAGUCUGGAUUUUUUUGGGUCAGGUUAGGUUAUCCUGUCUUGAAUUUCUUGUAUGUUACAAAUUUGAUGAUCUAAACUAGCUUUUAUGCUAAGCUGGUAUGUCAAUAUAUAAAUUAAAUACGUUUUAAGUAAAAAUAAAUAAAAUUAAACUUAAACAUGUUUGAUUUGUGGCACCAUAAGGAAGUCUUGCUUACAAUUAAAAGAAUUGCGCCAUAUUUUUCCAGUAAAAUACUCACAAUGAGGAGUAUAUUACAUGUUUUUCCCCAUUAAUACUUAUAGAAAUAUAAUAAUCUAUUUUUUCAUUUCUUCUCACCUCCCCUUAUUAUCUGAGUAAGGCAACUUGCUUUUAUUCUUUCGAUCAAAUAAAAAUAAGAGAACUUUUCUCUUACAAAUCGUAAUAUUAAUGUGUAGUGUUUUGAUUCUCCUAAUUAACACAAUCUUAGAUUCUUCUUCUUUAACUCGUCUCUUUUUAGGUCUUAUCAACACAAUCGCAGAGUCUUUUGAUUUAUGUUUUCAAUUCCUUUUUCAAAUAUUUCCGCUCAUCAAUAGCUUGAUUAGAAGAAAGUAGUAAUUAUUUUUUAGAGCUCUUCAUCAAAAUUAUAAAAAGAAAAGUAUUUUUAUACUUAAUUACUUAAUUAAUUAGCAAACCAUGCUUAAUAUAAAAUGCAUUAAAUGAUGAGCUAAACAAUUGCACGUGAUGUCAUUCACGCACCUGUCUUUUCAAUUUUUUUGGCUACAUAUUAUCGGAUUCUGCAACCUUUUCAAAAUGACUGGUAACACCUCUUGACGUCCUCCAAUUCACGUGCAAUUUUAUAAGUAAUGUUUGAAAAAAAAAAAGAGUGAAUUAUAUAAUAUUAAAAGUGAAAUUUUAUUAAUAUAAUAUUAGAGGAGAUAAUAAAUAAAUAACAAUUUUAUAAAAAUAUUGAAAGUAGGAAAUAAAAAAUUAUAAAACAUUGUACGUCAUAAGGAAUAAAUUCAAACGCUUCUUCAUCAUUUAAAAAAAAAUAUUUAUAAGCCAUAAAAAUAAAUUCAUUUACUAUAUACUUUUAUUUUAAUUACUUUGAUAAUUUUACAAACUAACCAAAAUAAACUAUAAUUUAAAUGAAAAGAAAUGCCAAAAAUACUAUUGUAUCUUGUUCUUAAUUGCUCAGUGCUAGUAGCUUCAUGUUUACUAUUCUGACAAAAAGAUCAAACGUGCAAGUAAAACGAUAUGAGUAUUAAAGUCGUAGAAUAUUGACAUGAUUUGUUAUCUAAAACUUAUAGAAAUUGAUGAUUAAAGUGAUUGACAUGUAAUGAAAAGUAGAAGAUUAUACUAGAAAUGCAAUGAAAUGGCAGAAUAUCAUCAAGUAAAUUGUAUUUAAGAAAUUUAUCAAAUAACCAGUGAACGUACGAAAUUGAGGUGAAAUUAAUAAUGAGUGAAACAUUGUUGGAAUCGGAUUUCGUAGGAACAACCUCUACACAUGUAAUCAAAAUCUUAGAUCACAAUUCUACUUCAACGAAAUUUAUUAAUUAAGUUGAAACUCGAUCUAAGCACAAGGAAUGCGCGAGCUAUUGCAGAGUGCGUGCAAAUACAACAGCGUUCCAGCUUGUAAACAAGGCCAAAACAAGAUUCGGCCAUGGAAGAGCUUUAGACAGAACUCCACACCCAAAACCGUCUCAAACGAACUUAUGAAUCGAUCGAAUGCAUCUUAACCUUGUGCAUUGUCCAAUUAUACACGAGUUUCUCCAACUAAAAUUGUUAUUUCAGCUUUAGCAUCUAGGGAAGAUAAAAUAAACCCGAAUCUUAUGAAUAUACUAAAAAAUAUGAUUACUUAUUUAUUGGGACUGAGGAUGGAGGCGCGGAUGGAUACGUACGGAUAUUAUAAUACAUUCUACCCACGCAUAUAUAUAGCAUAUAUAUAUCAUAUAUGAUAAAUAUUAAUGUAUUAAAAUAUGUUAUUUAAGUUAAUAAUUUAUAUUAUAAAUAUAUUUUUUAUAUAAAAAUUAUAUUUUCCUAUUUUAUAACUAACAAUAGUGGUGUAACAUAAAAUAGUGAAUUUUAAUCCAACAUAAUUUAUAUUAAGUUUGUUUUAUAUUUUAUUUAGGAAUAUUGAAUUAUUAUUAUUAUUAUUAUUAUAUAUAUAAAUUUAUGAAUUUGUUGACAAAAAAUUUUUUUAGAUUGACUUUAAAUUGUAAAUCAUAUUUUAUGUUGUUUGACACUUCAAUUAGUAGUGUAGAUUUAUAUUUAUUUAAUGACUUAUCUUUGUAAUAUUAGAUGAUUAUAUUUGUAAUAUUUAAUGAUGACUUAAAUUUUGAUAAAUUAAUGUUAUGUUUAUUUGUUUUUAAUACUAUCUUGAGUCUUAUAUAUAAGAAAAAAUAUAAUAUUUUAUCAUCAAUUUUAGUUAAUAGAAAGAUAAAAAUUACUUUAUUGUUAGAUUUUAUGUUUGGCCCUAAUUAAUAAUGAGGUCUAUCAAUGAUAUACACUCAUUUUUUCAAAAAGAUGAGUGUACUCAUUGAGCUAUCAACAAAAUAUAUAUUCAUUGUUUAAAAAAUUAUUUUUGAAAAAUAAUCUUCUCAUAUAUAUAUAGUACUGUGUUAAUACUUUUAAUAUUAUGUUUGAAUUACUUAAAAGUAAAUUUUCAAUUUACUUAUAGUAAUUUUUCUAAUUAAUAUAUUUUUUUAUUGAUUUAUUAAUUAACUUUAUACAUAAAUAAAGUGUGAAUCACGUAUACGAAUAUGAGUAUAUAGAUAUCAAACAAAUAUAAAAAUAAGAAUAAAAUUAUCAUCUACGUAAGUAUUGGAUUGAAUAUAAGUAUUUUCUUAAAAUACGAAUAUGAAGAUGAAUACUAUAAAAUCUUACUCGAAUCGAUUCUCAUCCCUAAUCAGCUUUCACUUAAGUGAAGAUAAACUCUCACUUAAGCCGCACUGCAUCUGUUGAGCUCUGGGAAAGAUCUCGCUUAAGUGAAUUUGAGUGUCAAUUGAAGUUGCUCUCUGAAAUAGAUUUGGCUUAAGUGAUAAGUGGUCUCGCUUUGAGCAACGUUUUAAGAUCUUUGGAACAUGUCUCUCUUAAGCGAGGUUGAUACUCACAUAAGUGAGUCUUGUCCUUCAAAAGCAUUAUUUUGCUUCACUUGAAUCUUCAUUCCUUUAAUCAAAAAGCAACAAAAAUCAAUCAAAAUGCAUUUGGGUGUUAAAUCAAACUAAACACUAAUUAUUUACAAUUUUACUCACAAAUAGGGAGAAUUAAAACUCUAAAUCAAAAAGAAAUUAAAAUAAUUGCUUACAAAAAUAAAGUGUAAAAAACAAUUAUAUAUCACUUCGAAAUCUACUUCCAUAUUUCUCUAAAUGCUCAGAGGGCGACUUUAAUUCGCUUGAAAUUAUAUUCAACAUUAUAGAUUAUAUAAGAACUUAUAAUUAAGAAGCAUGACGUCGUAUAAACUAUAAAGUGUUGAAUGUGGUAUGCUCGAGGUCAAUGUCGUUUUAGGUUUCUAUUUACUACCUCCUUUCAUGUAAAGAAUACAAUUAUUUUUGGUUUAAAUCCACUCCUGGUCUCUAAAAUUUUAUAGUUGUAUAAUUUUAAUCUCUAAAAAAAUAUAACACAUUUGGUCCUUAAUGUGUUUAAAAUUUAACAAUUUAAUUUGGUUUAUUAUUUUUUUAUAAGAAAUAUAGUUAUUGUAUUUCAUCAAGGAUAACAAAUAAACAUGAAAAGGAAUAUUAUCAUCAUAAUCAUGAGAAUUGAGAGCCAACAUUGUAUCUUGAUGUCCUAGCUAGCUUAGGAGCCACAAAAUUAAUUUGUUUCUUACAAAAUUUCACCCUAGAGUUAUCUAAGUUGGAUAAGAGCUGUUUACAAUUGACUCGAAUAAUAUAAUUUAAUGUUAUUGUGCAGUUAAUAUUUUAACAAAAAAUGGUGACAUAACAUGCUAAUAAUAAUGUGGCAUUAACAUGAUUACAUGACUAAUGUGUAGGAAUGCAAUACAUAUUCUUGAUUUCUUGCACAACAAGAGAUAUCUUGUACAAAGUAAUAUGAUACAACCUAUUUAAUUAUGAGAACUAUGUUUGUGUUUGUGUGCUUUUUUUCUUUUCUUUAUUUGGCAUUGUUAUGUAUACUAUAUAUGUCUUAUAUAUUGCCUUUUUUGUACAACUUUACUACAAGUCUUCUUUUUAGCUCUUUUUUAUUAUUUAUUUUGGUUUGAUUUUGGUAACACGAGAGUUACGUACAAUAAUUUGGUAGAAAAUUAUUAACGAUGAGUUAUUUUAAGAAUUUAUCUUUUCACUUUUUUUCAAAAACUAUACAAAUGGUAAAAAACUUUUAAAUAGAAUUUAAAAUAACAAGUAGUUUAUUAUGAACACUUUUUUUAAUUCGAAAUAAACCUCCCCAAAUUUUUUAUAGUUUUUAAAAAACAAUUCGUAUACUUUAAUUUCUAAGAUAAUAAAAUAUAGCUUUUAAUACAGAUAUAUGAUUUAAAUACACAUACACAUUUUGACUAUGUUUAAUAUUUUAUAACCAAUUCCAUUAAAAUAAAUUAUUUUGUCAAACUCUAAAUUAAACUAGUAAUUAAUUAUUUUGUAUGGAAAUUUUAGAUUUUUUUUCUACAUACAAUAACAAAAGUCUUUUUUUAUUACAUACAAUAACAAAAGUCUUGACUGCUUUAACUUUUAACAUUGCAGCAGAACAUAUUCAAGUAGAGUUUGGACGACGACAAAAUUUUUUGGCUUUUAAGAAACUUACUCCACUGGGGCGUUGAAAACCUAACACAAACAGUCUAUUUUUUUUUAAGAAAAAAAUAUAUAUAAAUUUUUAAACUAUCCUUUAAUUAUAAUUUAUUAUAUGCAAUAAAUUUAUUAAUUUUUUAAAAAAAUUAAAUAAUAAAUUAUAAUUAAAUAACGGUAUAAAAAUAUAUAAGUAUUAAUUUUAUUUUAUUUUUUAUAAUCGCAUGUCUUGUACUGGUGUUCAACUUUUAAAAUUUUUCUUUCUGAAAUACAAUAACAGAAGUGACUCCUGGGUUGGCCGAGAAACUGUAUAUUACCAAACAAUAACAUAGAGACAAUGUCAUAAAAGAUGCACUAACGAAAAGAGAGUGUUAAUUGACAACUUUUUACUGUCGCAAGAAGUUGAUACAUAUUUAUGACUUUUAGCACUUUUUCUUAGGCACUAGUUUUUUUUUUUAACUUAAUUUUAUUCUAUAAGCACUUAAAAUCGCCACAAAUAUUCUAGAUAUAUGUUUUUCUAUAUGCAAUUUUUUACACUCAACGCUUGGUCUCCACCCUCACUUUCAGAUUUGGAGUCUCCAUAUUUGUUGCUUUUUACCAAGAAAACUCACAUUUGUUGCAUUCUCAAUCUUGUUUGACAUCUUAAAAAAAAUAUUGUUUUUGACAACCCUCAAUAAUAUGUGAUAUUUGAAAUAUAUAUAUAUAUAUAUAUAUAUAUAUAUAUAUAUAUAUAUAUAUAUAUAUAUAUAUAUAUAUAUAUAUAUAUAUAUAUAUAUAUAUAUAUAUAUAUAUAUAUAUAUAUAUANNNNNNNNNNNNNNNNNNNNNNNNNNNNNNNNNNNNNNNNNNNNNNNNNNNNNNNNNNNNNNNNNNNNNNNNNNNNNNNNNNNNNNNNNNNNNNNNNNNNCAACUAUUAUCGCAUGAUGAUGUACGUUAAGUCAUCAUCAUCUUUAACUUUAUAUAUUGUUAAAAGUAGAAAAAAUAGGUGAUGCAUUAUAAAAUAAUUUUAUAACAUCAUUUAAUUAUAAAUUAUUUAUAAUAAAUAUUUGAGUUUUUAUAGUAAUUACCUAAACAAUUAUAUCAAGACUAAUGCCUGAUUAGUUGACAUGACGAAAUUAAACUCAUAAAAGUAAAGAUGUUUAUGUGGAAAACUCUUAUACAAUUGAGCGGACUUUUUUCCAUGGUAGUUCAGUUUUCUUCUAUUCAAUUUAUUUUUUUGGUUUCCGCUCAGAAUAAGAAUAAUUUGAUAAAUUCAUUUUUAGGCAAUUAAGAAUAUUUAUUUGACUAACUUUUUAAUUGAAAUAAAUUUACAAUAAAUACUCAAUUUAUCUUUCACAAUCAAAAGAUUGAGAUGUUGUAAGAUCUCCGAUAAUAUACUUAUAUCUUUUCAUUUAUUACGUUUUCAAAUUUGAAUUUUAAUGUGUGUUGUAAGUAUAAAUUUAAAAUAAAAAUAAAAACAAUUAUUAUAUCAAAAUGGCAAAAACAUUUAAUACGUAUUAUUUAAGAAAAAAAUAUGUAAUAAUAUAUUUAUAUUUUAAUAUCUAUUCUUAUGUAUUUUUUAAAAAUCUAUUAUAUAUUGAUCAACUAAAAUAUUUUUAUAUCUACACUUAUUUUGCAUUUUUAUCAAUUUUCUUGCGUUUUUUGGCAUAUUUAAUAAUGACUAUUCUUUAAUAAUCAAUCAUUAUUCUUACAUGGUACAUAUUGUUGGAACCAUAUGAAGUGUCCAUUGCAUUUGACUAUGUGGAUAGUGUUUUGAUCCAGGCCUCCAUUUGCCGCUUAUUAAUUAAUUUGGUAACAGUCCGUACUAAUCAGUUACUUAUCCUUCCUCCAUCAUAAUUAAUCUUGGUAGUCUCGAAUGCCACAACACUGACUAGUCUCUUGGAUCAUAAGAAAAAGCCAAGGAACAAAAGAAGACAAAACACAAUGAGAGUAUCCUUUGCAUAGCAAUGUCUAAGUUCAUAAAAUUCAAACAAAAACGCAAUCACACACAGUGGACAUCACUUAUCCACUAGCUGAUCAGGAUCGCCGCGUCAAGAAAAAAAAACUGGACCCCAAAAGCCAUGCACAACAACACGUACUCACAAAGGUGUCAAUCGAGCAGCCCAAAACAUUCACCAACUCAACCCAUCAUGAGCCCACACAUUUGUUGUUUCUAACCCAACCUCAAACUCGUAUUCUCUUCCGCCACCUCAUUUUUGUUUAUUUCAACACCCGUCAAACUGCAUGCCACCCCGUGGCCAAAUGUCCAUGCAUGUUAACAAGACCUAUGACUAUAAAUAUCUGCAAUCUCGGCCCAGGUUUUCAUCAUCAAGAACCAGUUCAAUAUCCUAGUACACCGUAUUAAAGAAUUUAAGAUAUACUAUGAUGAGAGCGCGGUUCCCAUUACUGUUGCUGGGAGUUGUUUUCCUGGCAUCAGUUUCUGUCUCAUUUGGCAUUGCGUAUUGGGAAAAGCAGAACCCCAGUCACAACAAGUGCCUCCGAAGUUGCAAUAGCGAGAAAGACUCCUACAGGAACCAAGCAUGCCACGCUCGUUGCAACCUCCUUAAGGUGGAGGAAGAAGAAGAAUGCGAAGAAGGUCAAAUUCCACGACCACGACCACAACACCCGGAGAGGGAACGUCAGCAACACGGUGAGAAGGAGGAAGACGAAGGUGAGCAGCCACGUCCAUUCCCAUUCCCACGCCCACGCCAACCUCAUCAAGAGGAAGAGCACGAGCAGAAGGAGGAACACGAAUGGCAUCGCAAGGAGGAAAAACACGGAGGAAAGGGAAGUGAAGAGGAACAAGAUGAACGUGAACACCCACGCCCACACCAACCUCAUCAAAAGGAAGAGGAAAAGCACGAAUGGCAACACAAGCAGGAAAAGCACCAAGGAAAGGAAAGUGAAGAAGAAGAAGAAGACCAAGACGAGGAUGAGGAGCAAGACAAAGAGAGCCAAGAAAGUGAAGGUUCUGAGUCUCAAAGAGAACCACGAAGACAUAAGAAUAAGAACCCUUUUCACUUCAACUCUAAAAGGUUCCAAACUCUCUUCAAAAACCAAUAUGGCCACGUUCGCGUCCUCCAGAGGUUCAACAAACGCUCCCAACAGCUUCAGAAUCUCCGAGACUACCGCAUUUUGGAGUUCAACUCCAAACCCAACACCCUUCUUCUCCCCCACCAUGCUGACGCUGAUUACCUCAUCGUUAUCCUUAACGGUUAGUAUUCCUUUCCUCUCAAAAUAAAAUAAAUGUCAUUAUUUUAUGCGGAUUAAGAAAAAUUAUUAAAUAAAUAAAAACAAAACCAACAAUUUUAUAAAAACUAAUCUUACUAUGACACUUAUUUAAUUAAUUAAUAAACAUCAUCACAUGCUUUUACUUCUCAUAAAAUUAUGUUAUUGAAUUUGUUUUGUUAAUUACAGGGACUGCCAUUCUUACCUUGGUGAACAACGACGACCGAGACUCUUACAACCUUCAAUCUGGCGAUGCCCUAAGAGUCCCUGCAGGAACCACAUACUAUGUGGUUAACCCUGACAACGACGAGAAUCUCAGAAUGAUAACACUCGCCAUACCCGUUAACAAACCCGGUAGAUUUGAG